GACGAACGCUGGCGGCGUGCCUAAUACAUGCAAGUUGAGCGCUGAAGGUUGGUACUUGUACCGACUGGAUGAGCAGCGAACGGGUGAGUAACGCGUGGGGAAUCUGCCUUUGAGCGGGGGACAACAUUUGGAAACGAAUGCUAAUACCGCAUAAAAACUUUAAACACAAGUUUUAAGUUUGAAAGAUGCAAUUGCAUCACUCAAAGAUGAUCCCGCGUUGUAUUAGCUAGUUGGUGAGGUAAAGGCUCACCAAGGCGAUGAUACAUAGCCGACCUGAGAGGGUGAUCGGCCACAUUGGGACUGAGACACGGCCCAAACUCCUACGGGAGGCAGCAGUAGGGAAUCUUCGGCAAUGGACGAAAGUCUGACCGAGCAACGCCGCGUGAGUGAAGAAGGUUUUCGGAUCGUAAAACUCUGUUGGUAGAGAAGAACGUUGGUGAGAGUGGAAAGCCCAUCAAGUGACGGUAACUACCCAGAAAGGGACGGCUAACUACGU
rnacentral:rRNA from 1 species